rnacentral:lncRNA from 1 species
CGCACACGCACACGCUCACAGCCGCCCGCGCCACGCGCUCCCAACUUGUUCCGCGCCCGCAGCCGCUCCGACGUCUUGGAAACUCCAUUCCCAGUUGCCCUCUUAGCCUGAGUUACCCACGCGGACUUCUUCGUAGGCCCCUCACACGCGAAUUUCUGACCCUCUCGUGCACAAAAAACGAGUGGACCCAGGGUCAAAUUGGUACUUCAUGCAGACCAUGUCAGCAGUUACAGCUGAGAGGGGAGAAGGUCAUAUGAUGAGAAUGUGAUAUGAGAGUUUACAAGUAUCCUGAAGGGAUUGUGGGUGGAGAACUAUCUGGAAAACCAAGGACUCAGCAGUAGAGCACCAAGCUUGUAGCUGCUUCUCAUGAGGGAUGAGCAAACUUCUCUCCUCCAAAGGAGAGUAAAGGUAAGGUAGGCUAUGAAAUACAAGAUUAAUUAAUAUAUACACACUAAAAAGUUUUAAUUCUGCCUACAUGGGAGUGUGCUUGUUUUCUAUUGCUGGUAAC